AGUGAACGCUGGCGGUAGGCCUAACACAUGCAAGUCGAACGGCAGCACAGUAAGAGCUUGCUCUUACGGGUGGCGAGUGGCGGACGGGUGAGGAAUACAUCGGAAUCUACUUUUUCGUGGGGGAUAACGUAGGGAAACUUACGCUAAUACCGCAUACGACCUACGGGUGAAAGCAGGGGAUCUUCGGACCUUGCGCGAUUGAAUGAGCCGAUGUCGGAUUAGCUAGUUGGCGGGGUAAGGGCCCACCAAGGCGACGAUCCGUAGCUGGUCUGAGAGGAUGAUCAGCCACACUGGAACUGAGACACGGUCCAGACUCCUACGGGAGGCAGCAGUGGGGAAUAUUGGACAAUGGGCGCAAGCCUGAUCCAGCCAUACCGCGUGGGUGAAGAAGGCCUUCGGGUUGUAAAGCCCCUUUGUUGGGAAAGAAAAGCAGCAGGUUAAUACCCCGCUGUUCUGACGGUACCCAAAGAAUAAGCACCGGCUAACUUCGUG
rnacentral:rRNA from 1 species